rnacentral:rRNA from 1 species
CAGCCGUAAACUAUGCGCGUUAGGUGUAUCGGUGACCACGAGUUACCGAGGUGCCGAAGGGAAACCGUGAAACGUGCCGCCUGGGAAGUACGGUCGCAAGGCUGAAACUUAAAGGAAUUGGCGGGGGAGCACCACAACAGGUGGAGCCUGCGGUUUAAUUGGACUCAACGCCGGGAAGCUCACCGGAUAAGACAGCUGAAUGAUUGUCAAUCUGAAGGUUUUACAUGACUAGCUGAGAGGAGGUGCAUGGCGUCAGUGACU